rnacentral:rRNA from 1 species
UACGUAGGGACCAAGCGUUGUUCGGAUUUACUGGGCGUAAAGGGCGUGUAGGUGGUAGUGUAAGUCUGGCGUGAAAUUUUUCGGCUUAACCGGGAAAGGUCGUCGGAUACUGCACAACUAGAGGACGGUAGAGGCGUGUGGAAUUCCGGGUGUAGUGGUGAAAUGCGUAGAGAUCCGGAGGAACACCAGUGGCGAAGGCGACACGCUGGGCCGUACCUGACACUGAUGCGCGACAGCAUGGGGAGCAAACAGG